rnacentral:rRNA from 1 species
AGAGUUUGAUCCUGGCUCAGAGUGAAUGAGGCAAGGUGGAUUAGGCAUGCAAGUCGUACGAUCCUUUUGGAGGAGGGUAAACGGGUGAGUAACACGUAGACAAUCUUCCCUAAAGACGGGCAUAGCAUCGUGAAAAUGAUGGUAAUUCCCGAUAUGCCUUAACCACACAUGUGGUUUUGGUGAAAGAUUGGGACCCUUCGGGGCCAAUCGCUUUUGGAUGAGUCUGCGUCCUAUCAGCUUGUUGGUGGGGUAAUGGCCUACCAAGGCAUUUGACGGGUAGCUGGUCUGAGAGGAUGAUCAGCCACACUGGGACUGAGACACUGCCCAGACUCCUACGGGAGGCUGCAGUCGAGAAUCUUUUUCAAUGGACUAAAGUCUGAAAAUGCGACGCCGCGUGCAGGAUGAAGGCUUUCGGGUCGUAAACUGCUUUUGUUAGGGAAGAAACCUUAAACUUUAAUAGAGUUUAAACUGACGGUACCUAACGAAUAAGCAACGGCCAACUCCGUGCCAGCAGCCGCGGUAAUACGGAGGUUGCAAGCGUUACUCGGAAUUAUUGGGUGUAAAGGGUAAGUAGGCGGUCUAAUAAGUGAGGGGUGAAAUCUUCCGACUCAAUCGGAAUACUGCCUUUCAAACUAUUAGACUUGAGGACGGAAGAGGGAAGUGGAAUUAGCUGUGUAAGGGUGAAAUCUGUAGAUAUUGCUAAGAGCACCGGUGGCUGAA